rnacentral:rRNA from 1 species
GGUCUCAGCCGGGACGCUGAGAGGUGAUCCUUCCAAAGGUGACGCUUCGGAAGCCUUAGCAGCCUGAAAAGGUGGCCCUUCACGACUUGAUAAAUAAAGAGAGGUGCCUGAAAUGCUAGUCAGCCUUCGCCGCUGGCAACACCGUCAAAUUGCGGGAACCCCCUAAAGACUUCGCUACCAAGCAGCACUGGGACAACUGGGCUGUGGCCAGGUUAACGACCUCGGGUACGGUAACAAUGCGAAUGUAUGAACCUCUGGUCCUCGGAGGGGAAAUGGGCAAUCUGCAGCCAAGUCCUGACCACCCCCGUAACGGGGGGUGUUGG